UUCUCCCCGAAAGCUAUUUAGGUAGCGCCUCGUGAAUUCAUCUCCGGGGGUAGAGCACUGUUUCGGCUAGGGGGCCAUCCCGGCUUACCAACCCGAUGCAAACUGCGAAUACCGGAGAAUGUUAUCACGGGAGACACACGGCGGGUGCUAACGUCCGUCGUGAAGAGGGAAACAACCCAGACCGCCAGCUAAGGUCCCAAAGUCAUGGUUAAGUGGGAAACGAUGUGGGAAGGCCCAGACAGCCAGGAUGUUGGCUUAGAAGCAGCCAUCAUUUAAAGAAAGCGUAAUAGCUCACUGGUCGAGUCGGCCUGCGCGGAAGAUGUAACGGGGCUAAACCAU
rnacentral:rRNA from 3 species